rnacentral:rRNA from 1 species
AUUGAACGCUGGCGGCAGGCCUAACACAUGCAAGUCGAACGAGUGGCGGACGGGUGAGUAAUGUAUGGGAAACUGCCUGAUGGAGGGGGAUAACUACUGGAAACGGUAGCUAAUACCGCAUACCAUCAGAUGCGCCCACAUGGGAUUAGCUAGUUGGUGGGGGAAAGGCUCACCAAGGCGAAGAUGCCUAGCUGGUCUGAGAGGAUGAUCAGCCACACUGGAACUGAGACACGGUCCAGACUCCUACGGGAGGCAGCAGUGGGGAAUAUUGCACAAUGGGCGCAAGCCUGAUGGAGCCAUGCCGCGGGUAUGAAGAAGGCCUUCGGGUUGUAAAGUACUUUCAGCGGAGAGGCGUUACCCGCAGAAAAAGCACCGGCUAACUCCGUGCCAGCAGCCGCGGUAAUAC